rnacentral:rRNA from 1 species
UGGCGGCAGGCUUAACACAUGCAAGUCGAGCGGUAGCAGAUCUAGCUUGCUAGAUGCUGACGAGCGGCGGACGGGUGAGUAACGCGUAGGAACCUGCCCAGUAGUGGGGGAUAGCCCGGGGAAACUCGGAUUAAUACCGCAUACGCUCUACGGAGGAAAGAGGGGGCUUCGGCUCUCGCUAUUGGAUGGGCCUGCGUGAGAUUAGCUAGUUGGUGAGGUAAUGGCUCACCAAGGCGACGAUCUCUAGCUGGUCUGAGAGGAUGAUCAGCCACACUGGGACUGAGACACGGCCCAGACUCCUACGGGAGGCAGCAGUGGGGAAUAUUGCACAAUGGGCGCAAGCCUGAUGCAGCCAUGCCGCGUGUGAAGAAGGCUUUCGGGUUGUAAAGCACUUUCAGUGGGGAGGAAGGCCUCGUAGUUAAUAGCUGCGAGGAUUGACGUUACCCACAGAAGAAGCACCGGCUAACUCCGUG